GAUCGGGACAUGGUGUUAGGGAAAGGAGAGCUAUGAGAAUGUCUUUGUUGCUGCAUUUGGAUUCUGAGAGGACAUUAGAGUCCAUUGUGGGAGUAAUGAGGUUAAGGACACCUUUGUGUUGAAACCCUGGAAGAAGGUGCUGGCCGGCCUGAGCAGGUGGAAUUCAGGGAAGAAGAGAACAGCCAUUCUGGGUCUUUGCAAGAAACAAGCCAGAAGGCAAGAUCAGGCUUGCCAUUCUUCUGAGAAGGACCCCAGAAUCUCACCUCUCCAGAUGGCCUAAGGAUCAAGAGAGAAGGAUCACACACUCUAUCUCUGGAGCUUUAACACGUGGGCUGCCUUAACUCCAAGAUCUUCUGAGAAAGAGCUCCCAUCAGCACCCUUGGAUACAGCAACUGGCACCACACUCUGAACCGAUUGAGCUUCUCCAGCAAAGAUUAUGUACUGGACCCUCCAAUAUAUAAAUGAUCAUUGAUGUCUUGGAUAUGAAGGAGAUUGUCCAGCAGAGGUGUACAGAAGAAGAGGAUCCAGAACAGAAACUCAGUACCAACAACUUUAGGAUGGGGACGAGGAAGAGGAGAAGACACUGGAGUCUGAGAAGUGUCCACAGAGCUAGAAAUAAGUAAUCAAAGUGUGGUUCCUGCAAGCCAAGGGAAGAGAAUGUUUCAAGGGAGUAGGAUUGGUCAAUGUUUCUGAGAAGCCACAGAAGACAAAGACAGUCACUUAGUAACUGGGAUGGCCCUGGUCAUCUGAUCAGAGCAAUUUCAGUGGAAGCAUCAGGGUAGGAACCACAGAACAGGACAUGGAAGGUAACAAGGAAAGGUAGAGUGUAAGCAAUGUCAUGUCCAUUACUUUCAACCGUCACAUCAAUCCUGCAAGCCAGGUAUUGUUUUCUUCCCUUUGAAAAAUAGGAAAAAGAGAGUUGCCCAAGAUGACACAGCUAAGAUUUAAACACAAGUCUGAGUGGCAGAAAGACAAAGUCCUUUCCACACACCACUGCCUCCCCAAGCACUUAGCCACCUGUGUGUCUCCGCUGACAAUGUUGGAAAUUUCUGAUAACACUGCACUGAGCAGUGGGAUGGGGACACUAUGCAGUAUGCUUGUUUGUUAACAGAGAAAUAAAGUUACAUGGAAAACUGGAAAAAAAAAAACAGCAGCAACUUUGCUCUUCUCUUUGUAGCAAUGUGUGUGUUUGUUUUCGUGGGCCCUGUUCGUGGACUCCUACUGAACAUCUCAGAAUUCUUUGGACUCAGAUACCUCUUUGCUGUAGUGCAAAGAUGCUGACCUGCCAAAAGUGUGUUACAGGCUGUGCCUCUUUGAAGAACCAGCUUGAACUGAUUGUUCUUCAGCUUCUCACAUAAAUUAGAGAACAUGAGGCCCACAGCUUUGCCCAAAGUUGUCAACAGGUUUUAAUUGUCUCUGCUUUUCCGUACACACAGAUGGCUUGGUUAAGCUGCUCUGAGCAGACCUCUACUGUCUCCACUAAGAAAAAUUAGACACAACAAAUGGAAAUCCAUUUAAAAAGAAAAGUUAUAAUAAGGUAAAGUCCUAAGUAACUGUGGCUAUUUUUUAUGAAGGUAAAUGCUAUGAAUAGUAGCCAUGACAGUGCAGAGAUAGAGGCAAAUUAAGAAAAACUGUAACGAAAAUGUGAACUUUUGAAGGCAGGUGCAGAAACUAUCAAGAAAAGUAGAUAGAAGUAUUUGGAAAGGAAAGGAGGUUCUUUUUUUACUGAUGGCAUCUAUAAUAGGCCUUGAAUUUCAAGUUUAUUUUUCCAGGUUCACUCAGAGAAGCUAGAAAUGAUUCAACAAUUAUGCUUACAGGAAUCUGUCCUUCAGAAAUAAUACAAGUGUGUAGAGUUAUUUUAAAAGAUUAUAUUACAACACUGUUUAUAGUAGCAAAAAAUUGGAAGCAAACUAUUAGAUUGGUGCAAAAGUAAUUGCUGUUUUUUGCUAUUGACAGUAAUGGCAAAACCGCAAUUACUUUUGCAUCAACCUAAUAAUUAGUUAAAUGUAGUUUACAUAACAAAACAUUGUACACCUAAAGUUAAUAAUAUGAGCUUAAGUUCGUAGAAGGUCAAAGGGUAUAAGCAUCUUGCAUGUUAAAAGGCAUUGCUACAUUGCACUGUGUAAAGGUUGUACCAAAUUACAUUUCCACCAACAGUAUAUGAAAGAACCUAUGUCUGUACAUUCUAACCAAUGCAGCAUGUAUUACUAAUGUUACAGGUUAAAAAUAGGUAAGUAAAUUAUGCAUCAUUAUCAUUCUAAUUACUAUUUCCUUUAUUAUAAAUACAGUUGAACACCAUUUUGUUUCAUUUGAGAACAAUCAUUUAUAUUUUCUUUACUAUAAGUUACCCCUUCAGGGACAUUUGCAGUGGCUCACGUCUGUAAUUCUAACACUUUGGGAGGGCAAGGCAGGAGGAUCUCUUGAGCCCAGGAGGUCAAGACCAGCCUGGGCAACAUGGUGGAACCCUGUGAAAGGAAGAAGAAACAAAGAGAGAAAGAGAGAAAGACAGAAAGAAAGACAG
ensembl:lncRNA novel transcript